rnacentral:rRNA from 1 species
CACGUAGGGUGCGAGCGUUGUCCGGAAUUAUUGGGCGUAAAGAGCUCGUAGGCGGUGUGUCGCGUCGGCUGUGAAAUCCCGGAGCUCAACUCCGGGCCUGCAGUCGAUACGGGCAGACUGGAGUUCGGCAGGGGAGACUGGAAUUCCUGGUGUAGCGGUGAAAUGCGCAGAUAUCAGGAGGAACACCGGUGGCGAAGGCGGGUCUCUGGGCCGAUACUGACGCUGAGACGCGAAAGCGUGGGGAGCAAACAGG